rnacentral:rRNA from 1 species
AUUGAACGCUGGCGGCAGGCCUAACACAUGCAAGUCGAGCGGAUGAAGGGAGCUUGCUCCUGGAUUCAGCGGCGGACGGGUGAGUAAUGCCUAGGAAUCUGCCUGGUAGUGGGGGAUAACGUCCGGAAACGGGCGCUAAUAUCGCAUACGUCCUGAGGGAGAAAGUGGGGGAUCUUCGGACCUCACGCUAUCAGAUGAGCCUAGGUCGGAUUAGCUAGUUGGUGGGGUAAAGGCCUACCAAGGCGACGAUCCGUAACUGGUCUGAGAGGAUGAUCAGUCACACUGGAACUGAGACACGGUCCAGACUCCUACGGGAGGCAGCAGUGGGGAAUAUUGGACGAUGGGCGAAAGCCUGAUCCAGCCAUGCCGCGUGUGUGAAGAAGGUCUUCGGAUUGUAAAGCACUUUAAGUUGGGAGGAAGGGCAGUAAGUUAAUACCUUGCUGUUUUGACGUUACCAACAGAAUAAGCACCGGCUAACUUCGUG